rnacentral:lncRNA from 1 species
GGUCGCUCGACCCCUACUCAUCUUACGCAAAACCCCCAUGACUUCCUCCGCCCUAAUUCGCCUGCAGUACCCAAGGUCUCUAUGUUGCUCUGAAUGCCCCAACUCCCCUAGCUCUAUGUUAUGAUCCCCCUCCUCAUUAAGUAAGUCUCGAAAGUACGCCUGCCACCUCUGCUUGACUUGAGACUCCCCCAUCAGAACUCUACCAU